UUUUGGACAAUGGGGGCAACCCUGAUCCAGCGACGCCGCGUGGAGGAUGAAGGUCUUCGGAUUGUAAACUCCUUUUGAAGGGGAUGAAACGCUUGGUGAAGAGCCAAGUUUGACAGUACUCUUCGAAUAAGCCACGGCUAACUACGUGCCAGCAGCCGCGGUAAUACGUAGGUGGCAAGCGUUACUCGGAAUCACUAGGCGUAAAGCGCAGGUAGGAGGUUUGGUAAGUCUGUUGUGAAAGCUCCCGGCUUAACUGGGAGAGGUCAACGGAAACUACCAGGCUAGAGUGCGGUAGAGGAAGGUGGAAUUCCCGGUGUAGCGGUGAAAUGCGUAGAUAUCGGGAGGAAUACCUAUGGCGAAAGCAGCCUUCUGGACCGUCACGACUGCGUCUGCGAAA
rnacentral:rRNA from 1 species